UACGUAGGGCGCAAGCGUUAUCCGGAAUUAUUGGGCGUAAAGAGCUUGUAGGCGGUUUGUCGCGUCUGCUGUGAAAAUCCGGGGCUCAACCCCGGACUUGCAGUGGGUACGGGCAGACUGGAGUGUGGUAGGGGAGACUGGAAUUCCUGGUGUAGCGGUGGAAUGCGCAGAUAUCAGGAGGAACACCGAUGGCGAAGGCAGGUCACUGGGCCGCAACUGACGCUGAGGAGCGAAAGCAUGGGGAGCGAACAGG
rnacentral:rRNA from 1 species